rnacentral:rRNA from 1 species
CACAAGCAGCGGAGCGUGUGGUUUAAUUCGAUGCAACGCGAAGAACCUUACCAGGGUUUGACAUGCUUAAAGUAGAAACUCGAAGAGGGACGACCUGUAUCCAGUCAGGAGUUUGCACAGGUGCUGCAUGGCUGUCGUCAGCUCGUGUCGUGAGAUGUUCGGUUAAGUCCGCUAACGAGCGCAACCCUCACUGUGUGUUAUAUGUGUCACACGGGACUGCCGGUUUUAAGCCGGAGGAAGGUGGGGAUGACGUCAAGUCAGCAUGGCCUUUAUAUCCUGGGCUACACACACGCUACAAUGGUCGGUACAAUAGGUUGCCAAGCCGCGAGGCGGAGCCAAUCCACAAAGCCGGCCUCAGUUCAGAUUGUAGGCUGCAACUCGCCUGCAUGAAGAUGGAGUUGCUAGUAAUCGCAGGUCAGCAAUACUGCGGUGAAUACGUUCCCGGGUCUU